rnacentral:rRNA from 1 species
CCUACGGGUGGCAGCAGUAGGGAAUUUUCCACAAUGGGGGCAACCCUGAUGGAGCAACGCCGCGUGCAGGAUGAAGGCCUUCGGGUUGUAAACUGCUUUUGUCUGUGACGAAUAUGACGGUAGCAGACGAAUAAGGAUCGGCUAACUACGUGCCAGCAGCCGCGGUCAUACGUAGGAUCCAAGCGUUAUCCGGAUUUACUGGGCGUAAAGAGUUGCGUAGGUGGCAGAGUAAGUUAGUAGUGAAAUCGUGUGGCUCAACCAUACAUCCAUUACUAAAACUGCUCAGCUUGAAGAUGAGAGAGGUCACUGGAAUUCCAAGUGUAGGAGUGAAAUCCGUAGAUAUUUGGAGGAACACCGAUGGCGUAGGCAGGUGACUGGCUCAUUCUUGACACUAAGGCACGAAAGCGUGGGGAGCAAACGGGAUUAGAUACCCCUGUAGU